CGCAGCCGCGGUAAUUCCAGCUCCAAUAGCGUAUAUUAAAGUUGUUGCAGUUAAAAAGCUCGUAGUUGAAUUUCGGGACCAUCAUGUCGGUCGUGCCUCGGUACGUACUGGCAUUGUUGGUUUCUCCCUUCUGACGAACCAUGAUGUCAUUUAUUUGGUGUUGUGGGGAAUCAGGACUGUUACUUUGAAAAAAUUAGNGUGUUUAAAGCAGGCUCACGCUUGAAUACAUUAGCAUGGAAUAAUGAAAUAGGACGUUUGAUUCUAUUUUGUUGGUUUCUAGGAUCGACGUAAUGAUUAAUAGGGAUAGUUGGGGGCAUUAGUAUUCAAUUGUCAGAGGUGAAAUUCUUGGAUUUAUUGAAGACUAACUACUGCGAAAGCAUUUGCCAAGGAUGUUUUCAUUAAUCAAGAACGAAAGUUAGGGGAUCGAAGACGAUCAGAUACCGUCGUAGUCUUAACCAUAAACUAUGCCGACUAGGGAUCGGAUGAUGUUAAUUUUUUCAAUGACUCAUUCGGCGCCUUA
rnacentral:rRNA from 1 species